rnacentral:lncRNA from 1 species
GUUGACAGUUUUGGUCUUUUUGUUUUAUUCUUAGCAUCAUUAUAGGUUUUUUAGAAAGAGGUUAAUGGGAAUCACUUAGGAGCUACUACCUAGACAAUAUUUAAACCACUUCAACCUCCCCACUCGUAACCCUUGGAUUUCUUUUACAUGUGCUGUUGGCUACUUAAGGCCAUUCUGAUGAUUGUGUAGUGGUAACUUAAUGUAGUUUUAAUUUACAUUUCUCUGAUUUUUGUGUACUUACUGAUUGAUAUGGUUUGGCUGUGUCCCCACCCAAACCUCAACUUGAAUUGUAUCUCCCAGAAUUCCCACGUGUUGUGGGAGGGACCCAAUGGGAGGUAAUUGAAUCAUGGGGGCAGGUCUUUCCUGUGCUAUUCUCACGACAAUGAAUAAGUCUCAUGAGAUCUGAUUGGUUUAUCCGGAGUUUCUGCCUUUGCUACUUCCUCAUUUUCUCUUGCUGCCACCAAGUUAAGGAAGUGCCUUUCUCCUCCUGCCAUGAUUCUGAGGCCGCUCCAGCCACGUGGAACUAGGAAAGAAAUCCAAGUAAAUCAAAAGGAACAGAAACUAGAAAUAUACAGGCAUACUUGUGGCUGGAGUUAUUCCACUACUUGUACAUUAUGUGGCUUACCUCAACAUGUGGAAAAAUACAGUGCAAUGGUGCAUGCCUGUAAUCCCAACACUUUGGGAGGCCGAGGCAGGAGGAUCACUUGAGCCCAGCGUUUGAGAUCAACAUAGCAAAAUCCCGUUUCUACAGAAAAAAAAAAAUUUGCUGCAUGUGGUGGUACACAUCUGUGUUCCCAGCUACUCAGGAGGCUGAAGUGGGAGGAUCACUUGAGGCUGGAGGCAGAAGUUGCAAUGAGCUGAGAUCUAGCCACUGCACUCCAGCCUGGGUGACAGAUUGAAACCCUGUCUCAAAAUAAACAACAAAGAAAACUUCGUCUCCUGCAGGAAGCUAUCAUAAUCCUGACUGCAAGCCACCUAUUUGAAACUUAUUUGAGUUAGAUCUUACGUUAUAUUUAUUUGACCUUUUUCAUCUGUCCAGUUUUCUUCUUGAGUUUAUUCAGUUACCUAAAGAAACUGAAAAUUACUUGUAGAUAGAAAUCACAUUUCAUAAUUUGCUUAUAAUUCCCCUCAGGCCUUCUGCAUUUUAUGCAUAUUGAACAUUACACAAUUUAAUGAAUGGAUCAUUGGAAAAUCUCUCAUUAUGUACACGAUUAUAGAUGCAAUACAUUUUCAUAAGUUAUAUAAUUGUUUUAUUUAUUUUUACAAUUAAGGCUGAAGAUUGAGGUCUAUAUGCACUAAUCUAUUCUUGAUGCAAUGGUUUAUUAAAAUGCCCUUUUAAAUUAUAGUAAGUUUUUGCAUUGAAAUUGGUUUGUCCUUGCUUAACAGAUUCGAUCAUUAAGAACAGUAAAGAGUUUCUCUCACUGAAAUCAUUAAUACAUUUACUUAUACAGAGAUAGAUAGAUAGGUGCUGGCAUAUACUUACAAGCUUAUGAAUAACACAGUUAGUUGCUUCACAUUGACUCAUUUCAGAAAUGUCACUGUAAGUCACAAAAUAUUUUGUGAAAUGAUUGUAGUAUACUUUCGGCUACAACACUGAGUCUGUUAUACCUGAGAAGAAAUUAGACUCUGUGGGGGGAAAAAGACAGAAAAAUUUCCAAAAUCAAAUUUUUAACACCAGGGUUGCUGUGAGCCUUACCCCAGGGGGUGCCGUUUGUGGCAUGGUCUGUGGAGUUAAACAGUGUAGGCUAUGUGGUUUUAUAUGGCAGCCCUGCAGAAACCAGAGAGUAUACAAAAAGGUAUCAUAAAAUUUUGAACUUUAGUGCCACUGCUCAGUUAAGUAGUCUUCAAACUCUUAUGGAUAUUUAGUCAAUCUGUUGUAAUCCAUGAUGUUAGAAUGUACAAUGGUCCUUACCAAUCAUUUUAUUUGGUAGAAAAGAAAAAUAAGAUAUAUCAAUGAGAAGUAAAUUAUAUAUUUAAAAUACAUAUACAUAACAUAGAAUUAAGAAAUAAAGCACAAAAUAUAUGACAAGCCUCUAAAUAUUAAGUACUUUUCAUAGUCUAAAUUUCUACUACUAUACCGUAACUAAGGGAGGAGGCCACCCCUCAUAUUGUCUUAUGCCCAAUUUCUGCCUCCAAAGAAAAAAAAAAGUGAAAACUAAAAGGCAGAAAUGACACCCACAGGAAGACAGCCCGGCGCCACACCCUGGGCCUAGUAGUUAAAGACUGACCCCUGACCUAAUCGGUUAUGUUAUCUAUAGAUUACAGACAUUGUAUGGAAAAGCACUGUGAAUAUCCCUGUCCUGUUCCGUUCUAAUUACCAGUGCAGGUGCAUGCAGCCCCCAGUCACAUACCCUCUGCUUGCUCAAUUGAUCACGACCCUCUCACACAGACCCCCUUAGAGUUGUAAGCCCUUAAAAGCGUCAGGAAUUGCUCACUCAGGGAACUCGGUUUUUGGAGACAUGAGUCUGCUGAUGCUCCUGACUGAAUAAAGCCCUUUCCUUCUACAAUUCGGUGUCUGAGGGAUUCUUGUCUGUCACUCGUCCUGCCAUAUAACCAUUAAAAUUGUGUCUUGCUUAUACGAGGAUUACAUCUCAAAAUAGGAAAAUAUUUUGUAGUGAUAUUUCAGUCUCCAAAUAAGACCAUCAUUUAUGGAAGUUAAAAUUAACUACUUCUGCUAAAUUAAUACAGGUUUGAGCUUUCAUAUUAACUAUAUGUUCUGGGUUUUUUUAUGUAACAGUAUCUUUUAGA